rnacentral:rRNA from 1 species
UGGGGAAUUUUGGACAAUGGGGGAAACCCUGAUCCAGCCAUCCCGCGUGUGCGAUGAAGGCCUUCGGGUUGUAAAGCACUUUUGGCAGGAAAGAAACGUCGCGGGUUAAUACCCCGCGAAACUGACGGUACCUGCAGAAUAAGCACCGGCUAACUACGUGCCAGCAGCCGCGGUAAUACGUAGGGUGCAAGCGUUAAUCGGAAUUACUGGGCGUAAAGCGUGCGCAGGCGGUUCGGAAAGAAAGAUGUGAAACCCCAGAGCUUAACUUUGGAACUGCAUUUUUAACUACCGGGCUAGAGUGUGUCAGAGGGAGGUGGAAUUCCGCGUGUAGCAGUGAAAUGCGUAGAUAUGCGGAGGAACACCGAUGGCGAAGGCAGCCUCCUGGGAUAACACUGACGCUCAUGCACGAAAGCGUGGGGAGCAAACAGGAUUAGAUACCCUGGUAGUCCACGCCCUAAACGAUGUCAACUAGCUGUUGGGGCCUUCGGGCCUUGGUAGCGCAGCUAACGCGUGAAGUUGACCGCCUGGGGAGUACGGUCGCAAGAUUAAAACUUAAAUGAAUUGACGGGGUCAUAGCUGUUUCCU